CGCCAGCCAGGCGGACAGUCCUAGGGCUAGGAGAAGGCGAGAGGAUUGCGGAGCCCGGGAGACACGACCAGCGUCUAGGCGGCCACUCGCUGAAGCGGUGGAUUCCGGGAAUUAUAUUGUAUUCACAUCACUGUUCCGACCGAUAGAAAAAAAAGAGAGAAAGACCGACA